rnacentral:lncRNA from 1 species
UCGUGAUGCAGCAUAUGAGGUUGACGGUCUAUUAUCUUUAUCAGCAGAAUCCAUGCCCUUUGACGUAGUACCAACACAAUCAGAUAUCACUUGAGUUCUUGGUGCAACACCUCGCGAUGCCGCUGAUGAGGUGGACGAUGUGCUAGCUUUAUCAGCAAAAUCCAACCCUUUUGAUAUAGCACUGAUACCAUCAGAACCAACCCUUUUUCGCGGAGAAACCCCCCGCAGCGAAGAUGAUGUGGAUGGUCUGUUAUCUUUUUCAGAAAAAUCUGCGCUUCUUGGUAUAGCAUCAAUAGCAUCAGAGGCAAGUCUUCGUCUUGGGGAAGAUACCGCUCGAGAUGGAACCGAGGAGAUGACUGUUCUGCUGUCCUUCUCAGCAGAAUCCAUAUUUUUGACAAUAGCAUUAACGCCAUCGGAAGCAAGUGGCCUUCUUGGCGAAGUCCCUCUAGAUGAAGCUGGUCUCUUAUCCUUUCCAGGGACAUCAGUGUUUUUUGAUAUACCACCAAUGCUGCCGCCAGAUGCUGCUGAUGUUCUAGGCGAACGUCCCCGUGAAGAGGCCGGGGAAGAAGCAUGUCCAUUCGGUUUCUCGGAAGAUCUUGUGGUUUGCGAUGUAGCAUUGGACACAGUUGGUACUGUGACGCUUGGCGAAACCCCAGGCGAUGACAUUGCGGAGGAGAGCAUGCUGUAAUCUCUUUCUGUAAGAUCCAUGCUCUUGGACAGGGCCCUUGCUGUUCUCACAGGAGAAAUCAUCCCUCUUGAUGGAACUGCCAAGGCUGCAGGCCUGGCAUCUUUACCAUCAGUGAUGCUGCUUUUUGAUGUAUCAGAUGUGCCAUUUGAAGCAGUUGAUCUUCUAGGCGACUCCUCCCCACGCGACGAGGAGACCAAUCGAUCGAUUUUAUCGGCGAGAUCAAUGCUUCUUGACAGGGCGCUUGCGGCGGAUGAAACCGAUGUCGUCCUCUUGGGCGAAGCCCCGCCGCGUGAUGACAGGGCCGGUCUGUGCAUCUUGUCAGUGAGAUCCACGCUCCUGGACAUGGCGCUGCCGGACACCCUGCCCCCCAUCAUGGCCGGCCAGCGGUGGUGGUCAAUCAUCCUGGCGUGCGGGUUCUCCGGCUGCUCGCCGCCGCCAGUGCGCCCCCUCAUGGGGCUCCUCUUCCUGUCGGCGGCCGCCACGGCGUCCCUCGCCCUGGCCUGAUCUGGCGCGGCCCUCCUGUCCCUGGACUCGAGCUGUAGCGAGGAGGAGAGGUUCCGCAUUGAUGGCCACAGCCCGUCGGGGGCCCGGCCGCCGCCUGACAGCCUCCUCGGGGCGCUCUGCGUGUCGGAGACGGCGUCGCGCACGGGCGUGGAGGAGCUGGAGGAGGACGAGGAGGGGCUGGAGGGCGGCGACGUCGGCGCGGAGAUCCUGGACGGCGCGGCCUCCCUGGAGCCGGCCCCGCCGGAGGCCGGCCUCGCCGGGCUCCCGGACCGCCGCUCGGUGGACGGGGACCUCUUGGGCUGCGACCCAGCCGCCCCCGCAGCGGCAUUCGGCGAGGGGUGCCGCCUCGGGGUGGCAGGCGCGCCGGCAUUCGGCGAGGGGUGCCGGCGCGGGGUCGCCGGCCUGCGCUGCGUCACCGGCAGCGCGUCGUCGUGGUGGGCGUCCUCAGAUUUCCGCUGCCGCAGCAGCGGCCCGCAGGCGUCCCCCAUGCGCGCAACCACCAGCGGCCGGGGUCAGUCAGAGCCACCCUCCGCAUUGACAGCGCCGCCGCGGAGCCGCCACCAGCAGCGCCUGCAAAACGAGACAAGACAAGCCAAUGCGGUUCAGACAGGGACCGGGAACCAACCGGCGGAUUAACCCCGCGGAAUCGGACGGGGACUCGGACCAGAUCGAGGCGGGCGGCGGGAGGAGCGCGAUUCGGCGGGUGGGAGGAGGAAGGGAAGGAAAGGAAAGGGGGCUGUUUUCCGGGGGAAGAGAAUUCCCCUCCCUCCGGCUUUGGGGAGGAGGAGGAGGAAUAAUUUACGCGCGCGUCGUAGGAAUCGGGGCGUCUCUUUCGGGUUGGUGGUGGUGGUGCAGCGGAGGGGGCGGACGACUGGGCAGUCGGUGCUGGCGGAGGGGAGCGGGCUGCCACCUGAUGCCGAUGGAUGGAGGGAGGGAGGGAGGGAGGGAGCUCACGGGAACUCCACGCCCAGCUCCCGCACGCCGAGUAAUGGCGAAGCCACGCCUCCGUAGAGAGAGGGGGGAAGGGAGCGUGGAGAGGAGAGAGAGGGAGGGAGGGAGGGGGUUGGUUGUAAACGGGGGAAGGAGGCCACCACUUCGCUCGCUCGCUGGGUUAAGGACGGACGACGCGACUAACUACAACUGAAUGCGAUGAUUAGUACUACACCCCCAAGCCAAAGCCCACAUUAAUCUGCGGCGUAGGAGGAGGAGGAGGAGUACUUGGAUGAAAUUAAUUAAGGGGAGGGGAGAUGAAUGCAAGUGGGCGUCUGUUUCCCUCUGGCGGGUAGUAAAAGGCAUUGAGAAUUGGGGGUGGUAAAAAAGGCGGAGUAUGAAAAGGAAAACGGAAUGUUGCCGUUGGGCUGGAGCCAGAGCCGGGUGCCGGGCUGGUGCGAUGGCAACGGCUAGCUCGCGGGCGUGCGGCAGAUGGCGGGGCCUCCUCUGCUCCCUCGUCGUCGUCGUCGCAGUCAGUCUCGCAUCGCAGGGGAGCGGGUCAAUCGCCGGGAAGGAGGAAACGGACGCUCCAGAAGCUGCUGAUCAGUAGUGCCCCACGACAAAAUAAAGGAAAACAAAAAUAAGAUUGGUCCUCCGGUCUGAUUGGAGGCUCGAGGAGGCGAUCGGCGGCGCCAACGAGACCGAGGCCUACCGCGAGCUUGUUUAUUUAUUUUUCUUGAAGGAAUCAGAGGGCGAGGCAUGAGCCCCAUGCGACAUCGAGCCCCCACCCGACACGCAGGCGAUCGGGACACGGCCGCGGCUUCGCCUCCCUCCCUCCAGGAACAAUGCCCCCGCCACCGCCACCGCCACCCCCAGGCCCAAAGCAUCGCGCCGGCAGACGCAGAGCCCAAAAUCGACGGUAGAAUCGAAGGAGAGGCGAGCCCGAUGCUGACCUCGUCGUCGUCGUCGCGGCCGGCGAAUCGGCGUCGCCGCCAACGCCGGGGGACGGGGUCGCCGCGCCUGCCCGAAGGGGUCCCGAAACGAAUCGAGGUCGCGAUCGCGUAGGGCGUGCCCGUGCGUGCGGGGAAGGCAAGGGAAGCGGGAGGGGGUCUCUCGCGCGCGGUUCGCCCGACGAAAGCGACGCUGCUCGGUGCCUGGCUGUGAUGGACCAGACUUUACCUUUUUCUUAUUAUUGCGCGACGCGUCUGGUCUUCCAUGUCAAUGGAAAAAUAUAAAAAGAAAUGGGAAUUGCUAGUUUUUAUUAUUAGAUAAAACAUUGUUGUUUUCAUUAUUGAGCUCAAGUGGUUGCUGGGAACUUGAUUAUAAUCAAUUGCAGUCGUUAUUAUUAAUAAAAGGUAAAAAAGUAAAUCUCAGUACGACUACGCUGUACCUUUCCUCUUUCCCACCUUUUUUGUAAUUAAAAGUUGCUUGAUCCACGAACGAAUGCUUCUCAUCCAAUGGGCCGAUAGAUGAUCACUGGCUAAACUAAGCUAAGCUAAGCUAGGCCACUUCAUGGGGAGCAUCAUUUCUCAUCCUUCUUUUGCUGCGUGCGUGCCGCCUCUGAUUAUGGAGAUUAAGCGAGUGCGUAAGCAGUGAUUAAAAACUGCCGCGGCACGGCGCUCCGCGGUGAGUGGCCUACCACCACCACGCACCAGCUCCCCUACUGAUGAGAUGAGAUGAGAUGAGAUGAGGUGAGAUGAGGUGAGAUUGUACCGUUGCGUUGCUAGGGGAGGAGAAAAGUGUAGCCCUAGUGACAAGCGCUUCCUUCGCACUCUACUUUCACGUCUCCAUCAGUGACCCAAGCCUUGUUUCUUGUCCCUGCUAUUUCUGUUUCGGAACCUCGCACUUUGUUUUCCUCUGUAAGCAAUGAAAUCUCGAUUUCUCUCUAUAUAUAAUAACACACUUGUUUUACGCAAUAAAAAGUGCACUAGGCAUGGUUGUAUUGCCCACAAGGGCAUGUACUCUCUCCGUCCCAAGAUAACUGAAGUUUAAGAUUUUUUCCCAGGCCAAAACCUGUUUAGGUUUGACCAGAUUCAUUUAUAGAAAAAUGUGUUGAGAUCUACAGUACUGACCAAAUACACAUCGCAUGAAAAUAUAUUUUUGUAAAGAAUGUCGUGAGACUAAUCUGGUGUUCCCGAUAUUAGUGUGCUUUUACAUAAACUUGGUCAAACAGAAGCAAAUAUGACUUGGGGGUAAACCUUCAACUUCAAUUGUUUAGGAACGGAGGGAGUACGGAAUAGAGUAAUGUCCAUCGGUGUGUCCGAUUUACAUGGUGUUCCUAGAAAAACUUACACGGAGAUUUUUAUUUCUUGUUUUUGUCUAUGCUAAGUCGGUCAUGUCUCCCAAGGCCCUAAGCCUAGGUAUUCUACAAUCAUUUUUUUGUAGUUAUCAAUUAAUUGAAAAUGGUUGUUAGGACAAUUAACCACCGCAAGCACUAUUUCUCCAUUUUAAGCAAGUGCUUUGGUGGAUUCCCAAGUUUAUAUACCUGAAAGAAGAACUUUGCAAAUUGUGGGUUUAGCUGCGAUUUGCUGUGAUAUUUGAAAGUCGCAAAACAUCGUAUGUUUCGAACAUAAACUGCCUAAGUCUCAUGCUUAAUUCAUUUGUCAUGCAUGUUAAUUUAUGCCCUAUCUAGGCAUGUCUACAAACUAAUGGCAGCUGUGUGACACUAGAGCAAGGAACAACGGUGCUACAUCAGGAAAAGCUAGAGAUGCAAGGUGGUGGACAAGUGAAGCGAAAGAACGAGAUGUUGUGGUUGAAGAGGAAGAUGGCAACCAACCAGGACAAUGAAGUAGAAAUGGAUGUACAUUGAAGAAAAAAGAAAAGGAGGGUAAAAAGACGAGAAGAUUGAAGAGGAAAAAACUAAGGAAGUGUCUAGAACUCAUCUGGAUGAAAUAUAAUUUGGUCUCGUUCACUUGGAAACACAAAGACAAAUAUAAUGUAGUACUGUAACCCACAUCGACGCACGCACAUCUUAUGAUAUCAAUUCAAUGGCUAUAAAGAUAUAUGAG